UACGUAGGCAGCGAGCGUUGUUCGGAAUUACUGGGCGUAAAGAGUGUGUAGGCGGUGCUCUAAGUUCGGUGUGAAAUCUCCUGGCUCAACUGGGAGGGUGCGCCGGAAACUGGAGUGCUUGAGCGUGGGAGAGGAAAGCGGAAUUCCUGGUGUAGCGGUGAAAUGCGUAGAUAUCAGGAGGAACACCAGCGGCGAAGGCGGUGCUCUGGGCCGGAACUGGCACUGAGGAGCGAAAGCGUGGGUAGCAAACAGG
rnacentral:rRNA from 1 species